rnacentral:rRNA from 1 species
AUUGAACGCUGGCGGCAUGCUUUACACGUGCAAGUCGAACGGUAACAGGUUAAGCUGACGAGUGGCGAACGGGUGAGUAAUGCAUCGGAACGUGCCCGAUCGUGGGGGAUAACACUUCGAAAGAAGUGCUAAUACCGCAUACGAUCUGAGGAUGAAAGCGGGGGACCGUAAGGCCUCGCGCGAUCGGAGCGGCCGAUGUCAGAUUAGGUAGUUGGUGGGGUAAAGGCUCACCAAGCCGACGGUCUGUAGCUGGUCUGAGAGGGCGACCAGCCACACUGGGACUGAGACACGGCCCAGACUCCUACGGGAGGCAGCAGUGGGGAAUUUUGGACAAUGGGCGCAAGCCUGAUCCAGCAAUGCCGCGUGCAGGAAGAAGGCCUUCGGGUUGUAAACUGCUUUUGUACGGAGCGAAAAGGCUCUCUCUAAUACAGGGGGCUCAUGACGGUACCGUAAGAAUAAGCACCGGCUAACUACGUGCCAGCCGCCGCCGUAA